rnacentral:rRNA from 1 species
UACGAAGGGGGCUAGCGUUGCUCGGAAUUACUGGGCGUAAAGGGCGCGUAGGCGGCCCGAUCAGUCAGGCGUGAAAUUCCUGGGCUCAACCUGGGGGCUGCGCUUGAUACGGCCGGGCUAGAGGGCGGAAGAGGCUCGCGGAAUUCCCAGUGUAGAGGUGAAAUUCGUAGAUAUUGGGAAGAACACCGGUGGCGAAGGCGGCGAGCUGGUCCGUUACUGACGCUGAGGCGCGACAGCGUGGGGAGCAAACAGG